UACGUAGGGUGCAAGCGUUGUCCGGAAUUAUUGGGCGUAAAGAGCUCGUAGGCGGUCUGUCACGUCGGCUGUGAAAUCCCGAGGCUCAACCUCGGGUCUGCAGUCGAUACGGGCAGACUGGAGUUCGGCAGGGGAGACUGGAAUUCCUGGUGUAGCGGUGAAAUGCGCAGAUAUCAGGAGGAACACCGGUGGCGAAGGCGGGUCUCUGGGCCGAUACUGACGCUGAGGAGCGAAAGCGUGGGGAGCGAACAGG
rnacentral:rRNA from 1 species